rnacentral:rRNA from 1 species
CCGGCGGUACUCGCAUGGACGAAGUCUGACGGAGCACGCCGCGUGAGCGAUGAAGGCCUUCGGGUCGUAAAGCUCUGUUGUUAGGGAAGAACAAGUAUCAGUUAACUGCUGGUACCUUGACGGUACCUAACGAGAAAGCCACGGCUAACUACGUGCCAGCAGCCGCGGUAAU